UCGACAAAGAGAAAAGAAAAUGGAUAUGAAUGGUUAGAAACCAAGCCUGCUGCUGUACCAGUUACACUAAAACCUGGGCUGCUUUAAGCCUGGGGUGUGGUGGCACAUUUAUAAUCCAACCACGGGGAGGCUGAGGAAGAGGAUGUUAACCUCAAAGCUAGUCUGUCUUGAAGAACAAUAUUGUGGUUUGAAUAGGCACUUGGUUGCCAACUGGGAGUGGGGUUUGGGGAGGUUGUGGGAUGUUAGAGAGAGAAGGUGCCUGGGUGGUUGACAUGGGCUGCUGGGAGCUGGCCUCGACUUUCAACUGAGCACUGUUCUGCCUGAUCCACCAAGAUGUGAAGCAUCCAAGCCACACCCACCCACCACAGUGAACUCGGCAGAAACGGACGGCCGUUCCGUUAAAGCUUAAGCCAGAAUAAAUUCUUCCCACCUUAAGGAGUUUCUGUAAGUGUUUAAUCACAGCAGUGAAGCAUAACUGAGGGGAAAGGAAGGAAGGAGAGGCCUGUCUUUACACUUACCUUGAAUGUGUCCCAAUUUCAUGUCCCACACUUAAUCAUCAGGCCCUUACAGAAUUAGUUGUCACUACUUUGUAUCACAUACAAAAAAAAAAAAAAAAGGUAAAUAUUAAGGUAUGACUGUAAAAGUUAACUAUCUGGAAGGGUCAGUAUUUCAGCACUUCACUUUCCAAAACACUCCCACCCGGCCUUGCAGGUUGCUUCUUGUCUGUAUGAGUCUUUUCCUAUUGUCAGUUUACAGGAAAGUAUUCAUUUGCUUUCCUUCGGUGCCCUGGGGACAGGGAGGCUGCUGACUGAGAGGCCUGGGAAACCACCACCAUAGCAGACGAAAGUGAAUCAGUGAGAAGGACAUUUACCCAGUGGAGAGUCUUGAAAAUGCAUCCACGGAUAGCCCUCCUGUCCGCCUUCACUGUUUCCUCCCUACGCUAAGAGCCAUUUCCUCUGUGUGGGAGAUGACAGAAUAUCUCAUUAUGUGUCUGAAUGUACCAGGCAGUCUACUGAACAGUGUGUUCUACAUAUCUCAAUCCAGUUCACUAUGACACACAGAGUUCGUCACCAAUCGACUGCUGGGUAGAGCUCCAGAGGACAAUUACGCUAGGCUCCUGUCUGCAAGGAUAACAAGGUAUCGUUAAUAGCAU
rnacentral:sRNA from 1 species